rnacentral:rRNA from 1 species
UACGGGGGGGGCAAGCGUUGUUCGGAAUUACUGGGCGUAAAGGGCUCGUAGGCGGCCAACUAAGUCAUACGUGAAAUCCCUGGGCUUAACCGGGGAACUGCGUCUGAUACUGGAUGGCUUGAGUUCGGGAGAGGGAUGCGGAAUUCCAGGUGUAGCGGUGAAAUGCGUAGAUAUCUGGAGGAACACCGGUGGCGAAGGCGGCAUCCUGGACCGAUACUGACGCUGAGGAGCGAAAGCCAGGGGAGCAAACGGG